UACGGAGGGUGCAAGCGUUGUCCGGAUUUAUUGGGUUUAAAGGGUGCGUAGGCGGCUUUUUAAGUCCGGGGUGACAGCCCGUUGCUCAACAACGGAACUGCCCCGGAAACUGGAGAGCUUGAGUACAGACGAGGGCGGCGGAAUGGAGGGUGUAGCGGUGAAAUGCAUAGAUACCCGCAAGAACACCGAUUGCGAAGGCAGCUGCCUAGACUGGAACUGACGCUGAGGCGCGAAAGCGUGGGGAGCGAACAGG
rnacentral:rRNA from 1 species